ensembl:lncRNA
CUCCAGACAGCAAGGCUGUAUUAUUCCCAUUUUUCAGAGGCACAGACAGAGAUGAAUUGGCUUGCCAAAGGUCACCCGAAGCAGCACUGAUGGAUUUCAGAAUAAGAAAUUGUCCCAUUUUAGUUCUACUAGGGCAAUGACUGUCAUAAAACCUUUCUUUGCAAGCAAUCCCUCCCCUUCACCUCAUCAAUCACCCCAGUGUACGUCUCUCCUGAGGGGACAUCCUCCUGCCUUGUUUGUAUUUGUUGUCUCAUUUAGAUUACAAUAUCUUCUGGCCCAGGAGUGUACAUUACCAAGGACCAAAGGGCAGAGCAAAUGCGUGGGCCGAACCAUUCAGUAUGGGGGCUGUGUGAGCAAGAAGAAAGCGCAAGGCCCAACUGGACAGACAUGGCAGGAUGAGACUUAACCAGGUACUAUCUCCACCCCAACACAACAGCGCCUCCAGCCAUUUCCUCUUCUUAACCUCAUUGUGAACCACAAACCUAAAAGCAACUGAUGAACAGUCUUUGGAUAAGGUGCCUCAGACAUUGUCCAAACUGAAAACUGAUUCACAGACAAGUUCUCUUGGAACUGCACUUGCUUUGGGAAGUCUCUUUCCACCCAAAAGCCAACUGGAAAUCCAGGCAGCCUUCCUUCCUCAACCCUAGAGUUGAGUUCCUACUAGUUGACAGUUCAGUCUGCGGAGCUGCUCAGUGCUAAUAGGAUGACUUAACCUGGAUGGAGCCUUUCCGAUUCAGCAGCAGUGGAUCGUGCAAAAUGCCAGUGGAGAAACCUGCAGUGCCAUCAAGCCGCAUGCACUGACC